UUGGAAGUAUCCUCAAAUGUUUGGGAUUUUCAUGGAUUACAGCCCAGCCCUCCAUUCAGAAAAGGAUCUGCACCACCGUGUUCAGAUUGACUCUUCUCAGAAGAAACACUUUGGCUCUGAGUGAUCUUCAAGGAGUGAUCAUCUUGUCAAGUUGAUGUCGAACAGAUAAGGGUGAAGAAAACUACAUGAAGAAACUUGCAACUUCUCAGUACAGGCAAAGGAGCGAGCGUAACACCGCAUAUUACCGGAGCAAAUACAAUAAACCCGAGGCCUCACAUCGAGCUGCUCAUCCUCCUCGUCUUCCUCCACCUCCCACCUCGCUUUCUUUUCACCCCCGGGGCU